AAACCAACAGGGAUUGCCUCAGUAACGGCGAGUGAAGCGGCAAAAGCUCAAAUUUGAAAUCUAGCACCUUCGGUGUUCGAGUUGUAAUUUGAAGAUGGUAACCUUGGGUUUGGCUCUUGUCUAUGUUCCUUGGAACAGGACGUCAUAGAGGGUGAGAAUCCCGUCUGAUGAGAUGCCCAUUCCCUUGUAAGGUGCUAUCGAAGAGUCGAGUUGUUUGGGAAUGCAGCUCUAAGUGGGUGGUAAAUUCCAUCUAAAGCUAAAUAUUGGCGAGAGACCGAUAGCGAACAAGUACAGUGAUGGAAAGAUGAAAAGAACUUUGAAAAGAGAGUGAAAAAGUACGUGAAAUUGUUGAAAGGGAAGGGCAUUAGAUCAGACUUGGUGUUUUACGAUUAUCUUCUCUUCUUGAGUUGUGCACUCGUAUUUCACUGGGCCAGCAUCGAUUCGGAUGGUAAGAUAAUAGCAGUUAAAUGUGGCUCCCCUCGGGGAGUGUUAUAGUUUCUGUUGAUAUUGCCUGUCUGGAUCGAGGGCUGCGUCUUUUGACUAGGAUGCUGGCGUAAUGAUCUAAUGCCGC
rnacentral:rRNA from 1 species